rnacentral:rRNA from 1 species
UACGUAGGGCGCAAGCGUUGUCCGGAAUUAUUGGGCGUAAAGAGCUCGUAGGUGGCGUGUCGCGUCUGCCGUGAAAGCCCAUGGCUUAACUGUGGGUCUGCGGUGGAUACGGGCAGGCUGGAGGCUGGUAGGGGCAAGCGGAAUUCCUGGUGUAGCGGUGAAAUGCGCAGAUAUCAGGAAGAACACCUAUGGCGAAGGCAGCACUCUGGGACGGUACUGACGCUGAGACGCGAAAGCGUGGGGAGCGAACAGG